rnacentral:rRNA from 1 species
UACGUAGGGUGCAAGCGUUUAAUCGGAAUUACUGGGCGUAAAGCGUGCGCAGGCGGUUUUGUAAGUCUGUCGUGAAAUCCCCGGGCUCAACCUGGGAAUGGCGAUGGAGACUGCAAGGCUAGAGUUUGGCAGAGGGGGGUAGAAUUCCACGUGUAGCAGUGAAAUGCGUAGAUAUGUGGAGGAACACCGAUGGCGAAGGCAGCCCCCCUGGGUCAAGACUGACGCUCAUGCACGAAAGCGUGGGGAGCAAACAGG